CCUACGGGGGGCUGCAGUGGGGAAUUUUGGACAAUGGGGGCAACCCUGAUCCAGCCAUGCCGCGUGAGUGAAGAAGGCCUUCGGGUUGUAAAGCUCUUUCGGCCGGGAAGAAAUCGCUCAAGCUAAUACCUUGGGUGGAUGACGGUACCGGAAGAAGAAGCACCGGCUAACUACGUGCCAGCAGCCGCGGUAAUACGUAGGGUGCGAGCGUUAAUCAGAAGUACGCAGCGGGCAGCGUGCGCCGGCGGCGAAAUCCCCGGGCUUAACCUGGGAACUGCGUGUGGGACUGGGGUGCUCGAGUGCGGCAGAGGGGGGUGGAAUUCCACGUGUAGCAGUGAAAUGCGUAGAGAUGUGGAGGAACACCGAUGGCGAAGGCAGCCCCCUGGGUCGACACUGACGCUCAUGCACGAAAGCGUGGGGAGCAAACAGGAUUAGAUACCCUUGUAGUC
rnacentral:rRNA from 1 species